rnacentral:misc_RNA from 1 species
AACCUUAUGGACCUGCGGGCGUAUACCUGCGGAGGGAUCAUUACAGAGUUCAUGCCCUCACGGGUAGAUCUCCCACCCUUGAAUACUAUACCUUUGUUGCUUUGGCGGGCCGCUUUGGCUACUGGCUCUGGCUAGUAAGUGCCCGCCAAAGAACCCCAAAACUCUGGAUAUUAGUGUCGUCUGAGUACUAUAUAAUAGUUAAAACUUUCAACAAUGGAUCU